rnacentral:rRNA from 1 species
AACGAACGCUGGCGGCAUGCCUAACACAUGCAAGUCGAACGAGACCUUCGGGUCUAGUGGCGCACGGGUGCGUAACGCGUGGGAACCUGCCCUUAGGUUCGGAAUAACUCCCCGAAAGGGGUGCUAAUACCGGAUAAUGUCUUCGGACCAAAGAUUUAUCGCCUUUGGAUGGGCCCGCGUUGGAUUAGCUAGUUGGUAGGGUAAAAGCCUACCAAGGCGACGAUCCAUAGCUGGUCUGAGAGGAUGAUCAGCCACACUGGGACUGAGACACGGCCCAGACUCCUACGGGAGGCAGCAGUGGGGAAUAUGGGACAAUGGGCGAAAGCCUGAUCCAGCAAUGCCGCGUGAGUGAUGAAGGCCUUAGGGUUGUAAAGCUCUUUUACCCGGGAUGAUAUGACAGUACCGGGAGAAUAAGCUCCGGCUAACUCCGUG